rnacentral:pre_miRNA from 1 species
ACAACAUUCGGACCGUCGGUCUACCGAGCAAUAUCACCCGCUCGGUGGAAGAUCUUCCCUUUGUUUC